CCCCGACUUUUGGGAGGGGCGCAUUUAUUAGAUAAAAGGCUGACGUGGGCUCUGCUCGCUGAUCCGAUGAUUCAUGAUAACUCGACGGAUCGCAUGGCCUUUGUGCCGGCGGAGCAUCAUUCAAAUUUCUGCCCUAUCAACUUUCGAUGGUAGGAUAGGGGCCUACCAUGGUGGUGACGGGUGACGGAGAAUUAGGGUUCGAUUCCGGAGAGGGAGCCUGAGAAACG
rnacentral:ncRNA from 1 species